rnacentral:rRNA from 1 species
UACGGGGGGGGGGGGCAAGCGUUGUUCGGAAUUACUGGGCGUAAAGGGCUCGUAGGUGGCCAACUAAGUCAGACGUGAAAUCCCCAGGCUCAACCUGGGAACUGCGUCUGAUACUGGAUGGCUUGAAUUCGGGAGAGGGAUGCAGAAUUCCAGGUGUAGCGGUGAAAUGCGUAGAUAUCUGGAGGAAUACCGGUGGCGAAGGCGGCAUCCUGGACCGAGAUUGACACUGAUGAGCGAAAGCUAGGGGAGCAAACGGG